ensembl:lncRNA
CCUCCCCGGCACACCUGGACUCGAUUCCUGCCCCCCCAAAUAAAGCCCAGGUGUGAUCCAGGUGUGCCCAGGUGUGCUCCAGGUGUGUCCAUGUCUAUCCAGGUGCGCCCAGGUGCGCCCAGGUGCGCUCAGGGGGGCGGCAGGAGGGGCGUGGGCACACCUGGCACCCCCGGAACCGCACAGGUGACCCCUCCAGGUGUGUCCACGUCCAUCCAGGUGCGUUCCACGUCCAUCCAGGUGUAUCCAGGUGCGCUCCAGGUGUGCCCACGUCCAUCCAGGUGCGCCCAGGUGUGCUCCAGGUGUGUUCCACGUCCAUCCAGGUGUAUCCAGGUGCGCCCAGGUGCGCUCAGGGGGGCAGCAGGAGGGGCGUGGGCACACCUGGCAGCCCUGGAACCGCACAGGUGACCCCUCCAGGUGUGUCCACGCCCAUCCAGGUGUAUCCAGGUGUGCCCACGUCCAUCCAGGUGCGCCCAGGGCGGGGUCAGGAGGGGCGUGGGCACACCUGGCAGCCCUGGAACCGCACAGGUGACCCCUCCAGGUGUGUCCACGCCCAUCCAGGUGUAUCCAGGUGUGCUCCAGGUGUGCCCACGUCCAUCCAGGUGCGCCCAGGGUGGGGUCAGGAGGGGCGUGGGCACACCUGGCACCCCCGGAACUGCACAGGUAACCCCUCCAGGUGUGUCCAUGUCCACCCAGGUGUAUCCAGGUGCGCUCCAGGUGUGCCCACGUCCAUCCAGGUGUAUCCAGGUGUGCUCCAGGUGUGCCCACGUCCAUCCAGGUGCGCCCAGGUGUGCCCGGGCGCGCUCAGGGGGGCGGCAGGAGGGGCGUGGGCACACCUGGUACCCCCGGAACUG